UAUGGGCUAAUCUGUAUGUUUUUGAUGCAUCAUUAUUUAUAUUAAUUUGUAAAUGAUUAAAAAAUAAACAAUAAUAUGGUUUAUUCAAAAUGGUGAUUAUGGUGAAUGUAGAGCUUUGAUUAAAUUAUAUUUUUUAAAUAAAUUCCUAUUAGAAAUAAUCUAAUGCUGUAAAAAUUUAGUUAAACUAUAAGAAAAAAAUUUUUGGGCAAAUGUUGGGUAUGCAUACUGACUUUUAAAGAAUGCUAUGUCAAAAUAUUUGGGGGAAGGGGCGAACUAUAUUUAAUAUAUAUUUACAGCUUUGAAAUAUGGGAACUCUAUACAUUUCAAUGAUAGUUACAUGAAACGUUAAAGAAGUAUUUAUAUAUAGCUUUUCAUCUUCAAGGAAAUCUACUAUUUUUAAAAUAAGCAAUGGACGAAAGUAAGCAAUUGUUUAUUUCACACUUUUUUUGUUGAUAGCUUGCCACAUAGUGAGUAUUUAUUUUCAGGUCUAA